rnacentral:rRNA from 1 species
UACAGAGACUGCAAGCGUUAUUCGGGAUUCACUGGGCGUAAAGGGUGCGCAGGCGGCCAUGUGUGUGAGGCGUGAAAGCCCGAUGCUUAACAUCGGAAUUGCACCUCAAACUACAUGGCUAGAGCAUUGGAGAGGGUAGCAGAAUUCAUGGUGUAGCAGUGAAAUGCGUAGAUAUCAUGGAGGAAUACCAGAGGCAAAGGCGGCUACCUGGACAAAUUGCUGACGCUCAGGCACGAA